ACAUUUCCCUGGUCAAUCAUUACCAUGCCACAGACAAAUCUCGAUUGCAUAAUUUCUGGUAGUGGGGGACUGCGUUCGCGCUCUCCCCUG
rnacentral:snRNA from 1 species